CCUCUAUUUAUUGAUCAAAUAUUCUCCUCUUUUUCCAUGUGGUGCCAUGGUUGAGGCUUAUUCAAUAGAAAGUAUAAUUUGUAAUACAGUGGGGAUCAAUCAGAGUUUUCAUGGCUAUGAUCUAGUUAGCUUAACCAACUUCAAUUUCAUGUGCUUUUUUGUAACUUUACAAAGUUGAACUGAAGUUUGUGACUUUGUUCUGCAGCUUGAUGUGAUAUUGCAACUCAGAUACAAGUGAAGGAAGAUGGAUCUAAGAGGAGCAGAGACUUGCAUAAAAAAUCAUCAAUUGAUGAAGUGGAUGUGAGAAUCAUUGGGGGAUUUCUACAAUAUUCUGGGAUAUGUCAGCCUCACUUGUACUCGAAACAAUGGAAACUAUACAGAGCACUUUCAUGAUGGGGAAGAUCGGGUUUCUUUCACUUGCUUGAAAGCAUUUUAAUCCCAAAAGGUAGUGAGAAUGCUUGCUUGUCUUCAAGUGAAAUCGGUUGUUGUGCUGACCGGAAUUGAAGAUCAUGUUAGCCAACCAC